rnacentral:rRNA from 1 species
AUUGAACGCUGGCGGCAGGCUUAACACAUGCAAGUCGAGCGGAGAUGAGGUGCUUGCACCUUAUCUUAGCGGCGGACGGGUGAGUAAUGCUUAGGAAUCUGCCUAUUAGUGGGGGACAACAUUCCGAAAGGAAUGCUAAUACCGCAUACGUCCUACGGGAGAAAGCAGGGGAUCUUCGGACCUUGCGCUAAUAGAUGAGCCUAAGUCGGAUUAGCUAGUUGGUGGGGUAAAGGCCUACCAAGGCGACGAUCUGUAGUGGGUCUGGGAGGAUGAUCCACCAAACUGGGACUGAGACGCGGCCCAGACUCCUACGGGAGGCGGCAGUAGGGAAUAUUGGACAAUGGGGGGAACCCUGAUCCAGCCAUGCCGCGUGUGUGAAGAAGGCCUUAUGGUUGUAAAGCACUUUAAGCGAGGAGGAGGCUACUGAGACUAAUACUCUUGGAUAGUGGACGUUACUCGCAGAAUAAGCACCGGCUAACUCUGUGCCAGCAGCAGCCGCGGUAA